GCCGGGCGCAGUGGCGCACGCCUGUAGUCCCAGCUACUCGGGAGACUGAGACAGGAGGAUCGCUUGAGUCCAGGAGUUCUGGGCUGUAGUGCGCUAUGCCGAUCGGGUGUCCGCACUAAGUUCGGCAUCAAUAUGGUGACCUCCCGGGAGC
rnacentral:SRP_RNA from 1 species